rnacentral:rRNA from 1 species
AGUCGAGGGGCAGCAUGGUCUUAGCUUGCUAAGGCCGAUGGCGACCGGCGCACGGGUGAGUAACACGUAUCCAACCUGCCGUCUACUCUUGGACAGCCUUCUGAAAGGAAGAUUAAUACAAGAUGGCAUCAUGAGUCCGCAUGUUCACAUGAUUAAAGGUAUUCCGGUAGACGAUGGGGAUGCGUUCCAUUAGAUAGUAGGCGGGGUAACGGCCCACCUAGUCUUCGAUGGAUAGGGGUUCUGAGAGGAAGGUCCCCCACAUUGGAACUGAGACACGGUCCAAACCCCUACGGGAGGCAGCAGUGAGGAAUAUUGGUCAAUGGGCGAGAGCCUGAACCAGCCAAGUAGCGUGAAGGAUGACUGCCCUAUGGGUUGUAAACUUCUUUUAUAAAGGAAUAAAGUCGGGUAUGGAUACCCGUUUGCAUGUACUUUAUGAAUAAGGAUCGGCUAACUCCGUGCCAGCAGCCGCGGUAAUACGGAGGAUCCGAGCGUUAUCCGGAUUUAUUGGGUUUAAAGGGAGCGUAGAUGGAUGUUUAAGUCAGUUGUGAAAGUUUGCGGCUCAACCGUAAAAUUGCAGUUGAUACUGGAUAUCUUGAGUGCAGUUGAGGCAGGCGGAAUUCGUGGUGUAGCGGUGAAAUGCUUAGAUAUCACGAAGAACUCCGAUUGCGAAGGCAGCCUGCUAAGCUGCAACUGACAUUGAGGCUCGAAAGUGUGGGUAUCAAACAGGAUUAGAUACCCUGGUAGU